rnacentral:rRNA from 1 species
AUUGAACGCUGGCGGCAUGCUUUACACAUGCAAGUCGAACGGUAACAGGCCUUCGGGUGCUGACGAGUGGCGAACGGGUGAGUAAUGCAUCGGAACGUACCCAGAGGUGGGGGAUAACGCAGCGAAAGCUGUGCUAAUACCGCAUGUGAUCUGAGGAUGAAAGCGGGGGACCGAGCAGCAAUGUUUGGCCUCGCGCCUUUGGAGCGGCCGAUGUCGGAUUAGCUAGUUGGUGGGGUAAAGGCCUACCAAGGCGACGAUCCGUAGCUGGUCUGAGAGGACGACCGGCCACACUAGGACUGAGACACGGCCCAGACUCCUACGGGAGGCAGCAGUGGGGAAUUUUGGACAGUGGGCGCAAGCCUGAUCCAGCAAUGCCGCGUGCGGGAAGAAGGCCUUCGGGUUGUAAACCGCUUUUGGCAGGAACGAAACGGUGUCCGCUAAUACCGGGCGCUAAUGACGGUACCUGCAGAAUAAGCACCGGCUAACUACGUG